UGGGGAAUAUUGGACAAUGGGCGCAAGCCUGAUCCAGCCAUGCCGCGUGAGUGAUGAAGGCCUUAGGGUUGUAAAGCUCUUUCGGCGGGGACGAUAAUGACGGUACCCGCAGAAGAAGCCCCGGCUAACUUCGUGCCAGCAGCCGCGGUAAUACGAAGGGGGCUAGCGUUGCUCGGAAUCACUGGGCGUAAAGGGCGCGUAGGCGGACAUUUAAGUCGGGGGUGAAAGCCCAGGGCUCAACCCUGGAAUUGCCUCCGAUACUGGGUGUCUCGAGACCGGAAGAGGUGAGUGGGACUGCGAGUGUAGAGGUGAAAUUCGUAGAUAUUCGCAAGAACACCAGUGGCGAAGGCGGCUCACUGGUCCGGUUCUGACGCUGAGGCGCGAAAGCGUGGGGAGCAAACAGGAUUAGAUACCCUGGUAGUCCACGCCGUAAACGGUGGAUGCUAGCCGUUGGGGGGUUUACCUCUCAGUGGCGCAGCUAAGCGCCUUAAGCAUCCCGCCUGGGGAGUACGGUCGCAAGAUUAAAACUUAAAUGAAUUGACGGGGUCAUAGCUGUUU
rnacentral:rRNA from 1 species